rnacentral:rRNA from 1 species
UUGGUGCCUUCGGGAACUCUGAGACAGGUGCUGCAUGGCUGUCGUCAGCUCGUGUUGUGAAAUGUUGGGUUAAGUCCCGCAACGAGCGCAACCCUUAUCCUUUGUUGCCAGCGGUUCGGCCGGGAACUCAAAGGAGACUGCCAGUGAUAAACUGGAGGAAGGUGGGGAUGACGUCAAGUCAUCAUGGCCCUUACGAGUAGGGCUACACACGUGCUACAAUGGCGCAUACAAAGAGAAGCGACC